GUCUCGGUUUACAGUCUCAGGAAUUACAUAUGAAAAGGGGUUCGGUUUACAGUCUCAGGAAUUACAUAUGAAAAGGGUCUCAGUUUACAGUCUCAGGAAU